GGGGAUAUAGCUAAGCAGGCACAGUGCCUGCCUGGCAAGCACGAGGCCCUGGGUUCCAUUCCCAGUACCA
rnacentral:tRNA from 1 species